AGACUCUACGGAGGCAGCAGUAAGGAUAUGACAAUGGCGCAAGCUGAUCCAGCAUGCCGCGUGGGUGACGAAGCUAGGGUGUAAAGCUCUUUCAGUGCGAAGAUAAUGACUGUAACACCAGAAGAAGCCCCGGCUAAAUUCGUGCCAGCAGCCGCGGUAAUACGAAUGGGGCGAGCGUUGUUCGGAAUCACUGGGCGUAAAGCGUAUGCAGGCGGACAUGCAAGUCAGAAGUGAAAUCCCAGGGCUUAACCCUGGAAUGGCUUUUGAAACUGCAUGUCUAGAGUCUCGGAGGGGCCAGCGGAAUUCCCAGUGUAGAGGUGAAAUUCGCAGAUAUUGGGAGGAACACCAGUGGCGUAGGCGGCUGGCUGGACGAGUACUGACGCUCAGAUACGAAAGCGUGGGGAUCAAACAGGAUUAGAUACCCUGGUAGUCCACGCUGUAAACGAUGUGUGCUAGUUGUCGGGCCCUCAGGGUUCGGUGACGCAGCUAACGCAUUAAGCACACCGCCUGGGGAGUACGGUCGCAAGAUUAAAACUCAAAGGAAUUGACGGGGACCCGCACAAGCGGUGGAGUAUGUUGUUUAAUUCGAAGCAACGCGAAGAACCUUACCUACACUUGACAUACCUCUUGGGACUUUCAGAGAUGAUUGUUUUCGGUUCGGCCGGGGAGGAUACAGGUGCUGCAUGGCUGUCGUCAGCUCGUGUCGUGAGAUGUUGGGUUAAGUCCCGCAACGAGCGCAACCCUUAUCGUAUGUUGCCAGCAUUUAGUUGGGCACUCAUGCGAGACUGCCGGUGUUAAGCCGGAGGAA
rnacentral:rRNA from 1 species